CAGCAGCCACGGGAAUACGAAGGGUGCAAGCGUUACUCGGAAUUACUGGGCGUAAAGCGUGCGCAGGUGGUGGUUUAAGUCCGUUGUGAAAGCCCUGGGCUCAACCUGGGAAUUGCAGUGGAUACUGGGUCACUAGAGUGUGGUAGAGGAUAGUGGAAUUUCCGGUGUAGCAGUGAAAUGCGUAGAGAUCGGAAGGAACAUCUGUGGCGAAGGCGACUAUCUGGGCCAACACUGACACUGAGGCACGAAAGCGUGGGGAGCAAACAGGAUUAGAGACCCCCGUAGUCCCUGUCUCUUAUAC
rnacentral:rRNA from 1 species